rnacentral:rRNA from 1 species
GACGAACGCUGGCGGCGCGCUUAACACAUGCAAGUCGAAUGGAAAGGCCUGCUUUCCCUUGUGGAUUGCGGGUACUCGAGUGGCGAACGGGUGAGUAACACGUGAGUGAUCUGCCCCCAACUUGGGUAUAAGCCUGGGAAACUGGGUCUAAUUCCCGAUAGGACUGCAGGGUGGUGCCUGUGGUGGAAAACGAUUUUCUAGUGGUUGGGGAUGAGCUCGCGGCCUAUCAGCUUGUUGGUGGGGUAAUGGCCUACCAAGGCGGCGACGGGUAGCCGGCCUGAGAGGGUGGACGGCCACAUUGGGACUGAGAUACGGCCCAGACUCCUACGGGAGGCAGCAGUGGGGAAUAUUGCACAAUGGGCGGAAGCCUGAUGCAGCGACGCCGCGUGGGGGAUGACGGCCUUCGGGUUGUAAACUCCUUUCGACCGCGAGGAAGCCACCUGGUUGGAAGGGUGGUGACGGUAGUGGUAGAAGAAGCACCGGCUAACUACGUG